GUAAUGUCUGGGAAACUGCCUGAUGGAGGGGGAUAACUACUGGAAACGGUAGCUAAUACUGCAUAACGUCGCAAGACCAAAGAGGGGGACCUUAGGGCCUCUUGCCAUCGGAUGUGCCCAGAUGGGAUUAGCUAGUAGGUGGGGUAACGGCUCACCUAGGCGACGAUCCCUAGCUGGUCUGAGAGGAUGACCAGCCACACUGGAACUGAGACACGGUCCAG
rnacentral:rRNA from 1 species